rnacentral:rRNA from 1 species
CAAUGCCGCGUGUGUGAAGAAGGCCUUCGGGUUGUAAAGCACUUUUGUCCGGAAAGAAAACCUUUGCACUAAUACUGUGAGGGGAUGACGGUACCGGAAGAAUAAGCACCGGCUAACUACGUGCCAGCAGCCGCGGUAAUACGUAGGGUGCGAGCGUUAAUCGGAAUUACUGGGCGUAAAGCGUGCGCAGGCGGUUCGUUAAGACAGAUGUGAAAUCCCCGGGCUUAACCUGGGAACUGCAUUUGUGACUGGCGAGCUAGAGUAUGGCAGAGGGGGGUAGAAUUCCACGUGUAGCAGUGAAAUGCGUAGAGAUGUGGAGGAAUACCGAUGGCGAAGGCAGCCCCCUGGGCCAAUACUGACGCUCAUGCACGAAAGCGUGGGGAGCAAACAGGAUUAGAUACCCUGGUAGUCCACGCCCUAAACGAUGUCAACUAGUUGUUGGGUCUUCAUUGACUUAGUAACGUAGCUAACGCGUGA